rnacentral:rRNA from 1 species
UACGUAGGGGGCGAGCGUUGUCCGGAUUUACUGGGCGUAAAGCGCGUGUAGGCGGCCGAAUAAGUUGGGUGUGAAAGCCCCGGGGCUCAACCCCCGGGACGCCGCCCAAGACUAUUUGGCUUGAGGACGGAAGAGGGGCGUGGAAUUCCAGGUGUAGCGGUGAAAUGCGUAGAGAUCUGGAGGAACACCCGUGGCGAAGGCGGCGCCCUGGUCCGUUUCUGACGCUGAGACGCGAAAGCGCGGGGAGCGAACGGG